rnacentral:rRNA from 1 species
GCUGGCGGCAUGCUUAACACAUGCAAGUCGAACGGUAACAGGCCCUUCGGGGUGCUGACGAGUGGCGGACGGGUGAGUAACGCGUAGGAAUUUGCCCAGUAGUGGGGGACAACUUGGGGAAACCCAAGCUAAUACCGCAUACGCCCUACGGGGGAAAGCGGGGGAUCUUCGGACCUCGUGCUAUUGGAUGAGCCUGCGUCGGAUUAGCUAGUUGGUAGGGUAAAGGCCUACCAAGGCGACGAUCCGUA